GACGAACGCUGGCGGCGUGCUUAACACAUGCAAGUCGAACGGUGAAGCGCCUUCCUUUUUGGUGGGUGUGGAUGAGUGGCGAACGGGUGAGUAACACGUGAGUAACCUGCCCCCUUCUUCUGGAUAACCGCAUGAAAGUGUGGCUAAUACGGGAUAUUCUGGGUCUGUCGCAUGAUGGGUCUGGGAAAGAUAUUGUUUCGGUGGGGGAUGGGCUCGCGGCCUAUCAGCUUGUUGGUGGGGUGAUGGCCUACCAAGGCGGUGACGGGUAGCCGGCCUGAGAGGGUCGACGGUCACAGUGGUGCUGCGACGCGGCGCAGACUCCGACGGGAGGCAGCAGGGGGUAUUAGUGCACAAUGGGCGGAAGGCUGAUGCAGCGACGCCUCGGGAGAGAUGGAGGCCUUCGGGUUGUGAACCUCUUUCGCCAGUGAAGCAGGCCUGCCUCGUUUGUGGGUGGGUUGACGGUAGCUGGAUAAGAAGCGCCGGCUAACUACGUG
rnacentral:rRNA from 1 species